CCAGUCCCCAGUGACGCACAGUUAAGGUUGUGGUGAGCCACCUCUCAGCAGAACAGAGAUACACUCCACAGUGCACAGUACAAUUUCUUGAAGAUUUUACUUUCUCCAGCUGCAAAGCUGAAGGCAAAGCUGAAGAAUCCUGGACACUCUCCUUUGUUCAAAUAAAACUUCUAUUUACACAGGAUUUGCUAAAGGAGUACAAGGAAAUGGCAGAGAUAGCAUUAAGCUCACACAGCAGUUCCGGAAAGCGCCCCUUCAUUGUUCUCAGGCUCGUACCUGCAGUAACAGGGCCUAUAGGCUUUGAACACAAGACAACUGAGUUCGGAACCUCAGAAGAAUUCUGGAUAUGGUACAAAAAAAUUCAGGUUCAAAUUCCUGUUGUGCUCAAGUUUAGAUAUACGAUGAUCAUUGCUUUUUAAACCUGCUGGGGCUUAUUUUUUCAUCUGCGAUAUAAAGAUGAUUAUACUAAUUUCUUCAAAGGAUGACAUGAGCAGGAAAUGAGCUAAUGUAUGGAGACAGUUUCAUGAACUGUCCAGCACUCUACAUAUAUAAGAGGUAAUGACUGUUUUUCCUAGCCCAUGUACUUCAGGUCUCGGCUGUCCCUCUCCUGCCCUCAGGUCUGGCAAACCCCACCUAUCAACUAGCCAUGGCUGCUGUGCUGUUUCAGGGCCCUGCUUGAUGAUCCAAGCGGAUGUGGGGUCUUCCUAAAGACAAUGCAUUGUGAUUGUGACCAGAAGGAAACUUAAGUCCAAGUCCUCAGUGAAUUAUCUGGGACUCAGUGUCUUCAGCUGUAAAAUAAAGUUAUUGACUACAUUUUGAAAUUCCGUUAUAGAAAUGCCUGCCCCAUAAGCAGGCAUGAUUUAUAUUGGGGCACUGUAUCUGUCUCCCGUAUGAAGAAAAAAGCUUAUAGUUCAUUCUUUUUCUUCCCUGGGUUUUUGAGUCUAAGCCCUUAUUUUCCACAAGCUGGGAAACUGGAAGAAGGGAAACACCGCAAUAAAUCUGCUGAAUUAGCCACCACCCCUUUCUCCUCAUCCCCACCAGGCUUGGGAGCCUGAACCACCUACAGGCCUCCCCACCCUUCCUAAGGAGAACAGGAGCCACUUAUCAGCUCCAGCUUUGGAGCUUUGCAAGC
rnacentral:lncRNA from 1 species